rnacentral:rRNA from 1 species
CGGCAUUAAAUUUAAUUAGAGGAAUCUGUUAUCUAAUCGACAAUCCACGUUAACUUCUACUUAUUUUAAAAAUUCAUAUAUCGCCAUCGAAAAUAAAUUUAAAUAUAUUAUUUUUAAAAAUAUCUGAAAAGUUAGGUCAAGGUGUGAUCUAUAUUUAAGUUUUAAUGGAUUACAUUAAAAACAAUUUAAAGAUUAUUAAUAAAUAUAUUUAUAUGAAAUAGAAUUUAACAGUAAUUUUAAAAUAUUAUUUUAAAAUGAACGAAAUCAAAAAUGUGC